UGCAGAAUCCAUCAAGUAUUCCUCUUGCGUCAAAUUCUAGGCUUUCACCGCUUCCUUCAAAACCUACUGGUUUCUACAACGAUUAUGGAACAAUAGUUGAUAUUCCACUUGAUACAUCAAAUGCUUUGAAGUAAAAGGAGAGGGAAAAUCAAGGAAGAACAGUUAAAUAAGAGGGAAAAGGAAUUUAAACGCAGAGAAGAUGCAGCAGCAUGUGGUAUGAUUUUCCUGGAUCCUGGUUUUCUAUUUUUUUUGACACACUGAUCUUCAGCUGUAUUCUUUUACUUCAUAGAAUUGGAAUUGUGAUAGUCGAACCCAUCUUUGUUAGCUAGAGCCCUAGAGUCAAUCAUUUGAUAAUUGUAUUUUGGACUUGUUGUAUCAUAUU